GGAUGUCAACAAAUUCUCGAUCUGGUGGUGGCUUGGCACGCAUGCUCAACAUUCCAUCUGCAGAAUCAAGAGAUCACACGUCAAUAAUUACCUGGGGUCCUUCGCUCUCGACGAGCAAGCGGCGUGGCUGCAGUCGGGUUCCGCUCAAGCGAAGAGUCGCUGCCGACGACGACGCGCCGAGUUCAUUCGUCGGGACCUGCCGCGAAUGCGGUCGCGUCCAUCUGCAGCAGAUGACGAGGUGCCCUGGUGUUCUUCAUGCUGAACUUUGCAGAGGAGGAGGCAUUACAAGAAGUACCAUUUG